GACGAACGCUGGCGGCGUGCUUUACACAUGCAAGUCGAACGGUGAAGGUGGAGCUUGCUCCGCCGGAUCAGUGGCGAACGGGUGAGUAACACGUGGGCAACCUGCCCCUAACUUUGGGAUAACUACUCGAAAGAGUAGCUAAUACCGGAUAUGAAGUCUGUAGGCAUCUAUGGAUUUGGAAAGUUUCUCGGUUAGGGAUGGGCCCGCGGCCUAUCAGCUUGUUGGUGAGGUAGUGGCUCACCAAGGCGACGACGGGUAGCCGGCCUGAGAGGGCGACCGGCCACACUGGGACUGAGACACGGCCCAGACUCCUACGGGAGGCAGCAGUGGGGAAUAUUGCGCAAUGGGCGGAAGCCUGACGCAGCAACGCCGCGUGCGGGAUGAAGGCCUUCGGGUUGUAAACCGCUUUCAGCACCGACGAAGCGCAAGUGACGGAAGGUGCAGAAGAAGGACCGGCCAACUACGUGCCAGCCGCCGCGGUAA
rnacentral:rRNA from 1 species